AGGUGUUAUAUGGUCUUGAAUCCACCCUUCUCCAUUUUUUGAUCAACGAAUAAAGUUCCUGCUCUGCUUUACCGACACUGGUCUUGUUUGUUCAAUUGGCACGAGCGACAUGGGACAGAAGACCCACUUAAGGGGUCUGACAAACAAGGCAGUCAGUAACAAAUUCUGUUGGCUCCACUGGGACCAGGUUCUGCCGUCUUUUGUCCCAUAAGGCAGAGAACUGAAGCGGUCCUAUUUACCAUUAACGCCUCCCUCCUUGUCCCUGCUGUCGCAAAUGUACAUAAGUGGCCAUGCUCAGUCUUUUCUGAGCUUGUCUUCUUUGUGAACGUGGGUGGACAGAAAGCUGUUUGGCUUGUUGCUGGUUUAGCAACAGAACAGGGAAAGGAGAGCUCUAAAGUAAAGCAACUAGGGAUGCCUGGCUAGAAGGGACUCGGUCAGGGACGCCUGGGCAGCAGGACUCCCAGUCUCCGAGGGAGGCCAGAAGAAAGGUAACCGAGGACCCUAGAGAAGCUUUCUCUUCCUGUAUUCCUCUCAGCUCUGUAACCACACUGGCCCCUGCCACCUCUCGCGAGAGCGCUACCUCUACUUUCCUUUCUAUUCUGCCUGUCUCAGAGAGCUCUGGGGAGCUCUUUCUUUCCCACAGACGCUCCUGAAGCUCUCUAGCCAACACAGGAGGACACAACCCACUGCCAAAGGAAGCCGUAUUACCCCACGGAUCCACCACACCAGGGUGAAAAAGGCAACUGAACCAGCUACCAAGAAGCCACAAGACAAUAAAACCUCCCUCCUCCUCCUGCAAGCCUCUAUCAGAUCUAAGAUCACUGUUCAAGAGAACCCCAGCUAAGUAACUCCUACGUCUGAAUUUAGAGUCUUGAAUACAUGUGCUUUCACUUUCACAAUAGGACUUCUGAUAAGUAUAAUUUUGCUCUAGAUUUGCAGGCCGGGAGCUCUCUGAUCUUGCACAGGAUGGCCUGCUCAGCUUUGCAUCUUAUUUUCUUACUUAGCUUCCUUUCAGUGAGUGGAACCCUGGGCCAAAUGAUUCCGUGGGCUAAUAACACAUGGGUUCAGAUCACAUCAGAUAAUGAUAGAGGAUAUAAUCUCUCCAACUGCUGGGUCUGCCACAACCAACCCACUGGGGAAUCUGGAGAACCCCUCUGGAGGGAAGGGCACCCAGUCAAUAAAUCAAUAUGGCUAAAGCACCCAAUAUUCAGAGCCAAUAAGACAUUUCCCAACCCAGUUAUCCGCAUCUAUCCCGUUAGGCUUCGCCCUGUGAAAUACAACAAGGGCUGCCCUGAUGGGCCACGGUGUCUACUGGUGAGAGAAAUUGCCUGGCACUCCAAUGUAGACCCCAGAUUUAACUCCACCUGCUCCCGAGAUACCACUUGCCUCACCCAAUUUCAAAUACAACAUGCUAGCCCCUUCCUAAGCCAGGAAAAACAGUGGAAGAGUGACUACCCAGGCUGUAACAACUAUGACACCACACUCUGCCCAAACCUUGACACUAAGUCUUGGAUUUCUCCUGAAGACACAUCUCUGGGGAUAAACACACAAGUGUCUUACCCAGGGAAAUUGUGCCUUGGAAAGGGACUCAUGUUUCUAGGCAUCAUUGAGAAAGAGCUUGCAAUCGCUACCCAGUGCCUAGACACCAAUAAGACAAUUGGCAUGUGGACAGUAGGAUAUGUGAUCCCUUCCCCCAAAUACUGCUCAUCUUUGGUCCCUGCCUUCUCAAGACUUUAGUAUCUUUCCUGAGUAGAAGGUUAGACGCUAUUAAGCUACAAAUAGUCAUAGCCCAGGGCUGUGGACAGCUAAGCCCGUAGCCGAGAAACAAUCACAUGUAACUCAGACUAGCUAGGGAAAGCUUCUUCUCCUCUACCGGGCCCCAUGACGACGUCCACGUUCAGCAGGAAGCAGUUACAGAAGCCAGACCUUCUGCCCUCCACGCCCCUCAAGAAUGACAAGCAGGAUAUAGACAGAGGAGGGGUUGUCACCAGGAGAAGUUGUCACUGGGGUGGUUGCUCAUGGAAAAUUACACCUAACCUUUUGGUUGGGCUAUGCUUGCUUUCAGAAACUAGUGCAGGAUGCCAGUAACCAGAAGACCAUCAUGAAUCAGUUCUGCCCAAGAUGGCAACGGUGUCGUGCAUAAAAAGUACCAAGUGCAAAAGUGCCGAGUGCCAAAAACCACACGAGGAUGCCCAAGCCGUGCCCCCCAUCAUCUUACCCCACCCCCUAUAGAAGAGUCCCACUCACCUCUCUUCAGGGAGGUGUCAUAUGGACGUGAGUCCACUCUUCUGCAUUCUUUGGUCAAAGAAUAAAGUCUCUACUCUGCUUUACCAAA